rnacentral:rRNA from 1 species
ACCGAGAUUCCCCCAGUAGCGGCGAGCGAACGGGGAGCAGCCCGGAGUCUGAAUCAGCUUGUGUGUUAGUGGAACGGUCUGGAAAGUCCGACGGUACAGGGUGAUAGUCCCGUACACGAAAAUGCACAUGCUGUGAACUCGAAGAGUAGGGCGGGACACGUGGUAUCCUGUCUGAAUAUGGGGGGACCAUCCUCCAAGGCUAAAUACUCCUGACUGACCGAUAGUGAACCAGUACCGUGAGGGAAAGGCGAAAAGCGCCAGCGUUCAAU